rnacentral:rRNA from 1 species
UACGUAGGGGGCGAGCGUUGUCCGGAUUUAUUGGGCGUAAAGAGCGUGUAGGCGGUUCGGUAAGUCUGUCGUGAAAUCCUGAGGCUCAACCUCGGGCGUGCGAUGGAUACUGCCAGGCUAGAGGGUGGUAGAGGCGAGUGGAAUUCCCGGUGUAGCGGUGAAAUGCGCAGAUAUCGGGAGGAACACCAGUAGCGAAGGCGGCUCGCUGGGCCACACCUGACGCUGAGACGCGAAAGCUAGGGGAGCGAACAGG